GAUGAACGCUGGCGGCGUGCUUAACACAUGCAAGUCGAACGAAGCACCUACCAAGGAUUUCCUCGGAAUGACUAAUAGGUGACUGAGUGGCGGACGGGUGAGUAACGCGUGGGUAACCUACCUCAUACAGGGGGAUAACAGUUAGAAAUGACUGCUAAUACCGCAUAAGCGCACAAUACUGCAUGGUAUAGUGUGAAAAACUCCGGUGGUAUGAGAUGAGCUCGCGUCUGAUUAGCUAGUUGGUGGGGUAACGGCCUACCAAGGCGACGAUCAGUAGCCGGACUGAGAGGUUGAACGGCCACAUUGGGACUGAGACACGGCCCAGACUCCUACGGGAGGCAGCAGUGGGGAAUAUUGCGCAAUGGGAGGAACCCUGACGCAGCAACGCCGCGUGAAGGAAGAAGGCCUUCGGGUUGUAAACUUUUGUCUUUAGGGAAGAUAGUGACGGUACCUAAGGAGGAAGCCACGGCUAACUACGUG
rnacentral:rRNA from 1 species